GGAAUCUUCCACAAUGGACGCAAGUCUGAUGGAGAAACGCCGCGUGAGUGAAGAAGGGUUUAGGCUCGUAAAGCUCUGUUGUUAAAGAAGAACGUGGGUAAGAGUAACUGUUUACCCAGUGACGGUAUUUAACCAGAAAGCCACGGCUAACUACGCGCCAGCAGCCGCGGUAAUACGGAGGGUGCAAGCGUUAAUCGGAAUUACUGGGCGUAAAGCGCACGCAGGCGGUCUGUCAAGUCGGAUGUGAAAUCCCCGGGCUCAACCUGGGAACUGCAUUCGAAACUGGCAGGCUAGAGUCUUGUAGAGGGGGGUAGAAUUCCAGGUGUAGCGGUGAAAUGCGUAGAGAUCUGGAGGAAUACCGGUGGCGAAGGCGGCCCCCUGGACAAAGACUGACGCUCAGGUGCGAAAGCGUGGGGAGCAAACA
rnacentral:rRNA from 1 species